rnacentral:rRNA from 1 species
AGCUCCAAUAGCGUAUAUUAAAAUUGUUGCGGUUAAAAGCUCGUAGUUGGAUUUCUGCUGAUGGUGGCUGGUCCGCCCUCUGGGUGAGUAUCUGGCACAACCACAGCACUUCCCAAAACAUAACUGCACUUGACUGUGUGGUGUGGUAUUGGGAAAUUUUACUUUGAGGAAAUCAGAGUGUUUCAAGCAGGCAUCCGCCUUGAAUACAUUAGCAUGGAAUAAUAUUAUAGGAUCUUGGUUCUAUUUUGUUGGUUUUUAUAGCCGAGGUAAUGACAAAUAGGGAUAGUUGGGGGCAUUCGUAUUUAAUUGUCAGAGGUGAAAUUCUUGGAUUUAUUAAAGACGGACUACUGCGAAAGCAUUUGCCAAGGAUGUUUUCA